GAUGAACGCUGGCGGCGUGCCUAAUACAUGCAAGUCGAGCGAACAGACGAGGAGCUUGCUCCUCUGACGUUAGCGGCGGACGGGUGAGUAACACGUGGAUAACCUACCUAUAAGACUGGGAUAACUUCGGGAAACCGGAGCUAAUACCGGAUAACAUGUUGAACCGCAUGGUUCAACAGUGAAAGACGGUCUUGCUGUCACUUAUAGAUGGAUCCGCGCCGCAUUAGCUAGUUGGUAAGGUAACGGCUUACCAAGGCAACGAUGCGUAGCCGACCUGAGAGGGAGAUCGCCCACACUGGAACUGAGGCAGGGUCCAGACUCCUACGGGAGGCAGCAGUAGGGAAUCUUACGCAAUGGGGGAAAGCCUGACGGAGCAACGCGGCGUGAGUGAAGAAGGUCUUCGGAUCGUAAAACUCUGUUAUUAGGGAAGAACAAAUGUGUAAGUAACUAUGCACGUCUUGACGGUACCUAGUCAGAAAGCCACGGCUAACUACGUG
rnacentral:rRNA from 1 species